AUACGGAGGUUGCAAGCGUUAAUCGGAAUUACUGGGCGUAAAGCGUACGUAGGCGGUUCGUUAAGUUAGAUGUGAAAGCCCCGGGCUUAACCUGGGAACUGCAUUUAAAACUGGCGAACUAGAGUUGAGUAGAGGGGAGUGGAAUUUCAGGUGUAGCGGUGAAAUGCGUAGAGAUCUGAAGGAACACCAGUGGCGAAGGCGGCUCCCUGGACUCAAACUGACGCUGAGGUACGAAAGCGUGGGUAGCAAACGGGAUUAGAAACCCUAGUAGUCC
rnacentral:rRNA from 1 species